UAUCCUCGUCAGAUCAUCUGCAUGGGCCCAGAAUGUGGUUUUUACAUUGUUUUUUACUCUACCAGUUGUCAGUGGGGAGGCAUUCCACAUGAAUCUAAGGUUGUGAAUUGAAAUCCAGUCCUGGUUCCAGCUUCACCUACAUAGAGAGUGCAUGUUCCCUCCCUGCUGGCGUGACUUUCUUCUGAGUGCCUCUCUUUCCUCCUGUAUUCCUCAGAUGGGUUCUUCAGGAUUCAGAAGUGUCUCCUGAUCGACGCAACCCCGGUUGGAUUAUCAGUCGCUGAUCACGGAUUGAUGGAUGGAUUAAUGACACCCAUUUGUUUCCAGACGAAUCAUCGGUCCACCCAUUGCCAAGCCCCGGCCCGGCAAGGAGCCGUUCCAGGUGUGCCCAGCUCACAUUGAUGGAAUAUGGGUCAUGCAGAGGGGGUGAAGAGGACUAAUCUGGGACAGCAGGGGGCGCACUGCAGCCUUGGGUCUCCUCCCCGGUACAGCAGCGUCUCCCUUCUCUUUCAUUGGCCUGCGUUUACAGCGUCACGCAGAUACAGGUGUGUCUCGUGCUUUCGUAUCCAGCCCACGAGCUGUUUGUGACACCCAGGGAAAUACCACGGUAAGUGCAGUUGCGCUCAUGCAACAACCCCCCUCCGGAUCUGCGGUUAACGGUGCGCAGUGCCUGUGUGUUUAUACGCGCUCUGGUUAUUUCAGGGACGAGGCGCGAGGAAAAAAAACCACACAAGAAGGAAGCCUAAACAUGACCGAGGAUGAUCAGUCCUCGGUCCUGUUGCCGGGUUACAGCACGGUGGGGGUCCCCCCGUCCGUUGAUGGGAUUGUCCUGGAGACGUCCCUCCCCCCCCCAUGUGAGAGAUGGAAUGAACAAAAGCGGGGCGGCUGACAGCUGCCUGGACAGCAGGAGCCUCAUGCUGAGGGAUUCACUGCACUUUGACAGGGUCCAUGUGGCUGCGGGAGGAGGGCUGUCCAUGGGGGAGGAGUGAUCCUCAAAGGCCGAUAGGCGUUCUUCGCAUCUUGGAGGGGAGAUGUGGAUGCGAAGGGGUGAAGGAGGAGACGGACCGUGCCGAGAUUUCACCGACUGCACAUCUCCAUCCAAGCUCCAGCUCCAUCGCUGGUCUCCUAGGCAACGGCACAGGCCUCUGGACCUUACGCUACACCACUAGAGCCAGAAGGGAGCGACCAAGGAAUCGUGACCUGGUCGCGAGCCUUUGACGUCACGGUGCUCAGACGAUCCAGGUGAGGGCCUCCUCUCAGGAAGGCGGCUGAGCCCCGGCUCCUCCUCACACGGACAGGGCCCAGAACACACAAGCGUACCCUCGCCUAGGACGAGCUGUCGGGACCAGAAGCUCCCUCCUUAGAUGGCAGUGGAGGAGGAGCCCUUCCAUUGGACCAUGGAGGGUGGGGACUUCUUCCAUGGAGGAAUUUAA